UAAAAGUGUUCACGGGGUGUGAAUACUUUUAUGAUGCGCUGAAACGUCAUCUCCGUGUUUUCUGUUUGUGUUUUGCAUACGUGUGCACUUCCUGUUUGGCACGUUUUUCCAGGUGCGUCGGGCUGCGAUCCUCCAGGUGAGUGGUUCCGGUUCUGGUCCCGGGGCGGUUUAGAAGUCUGUGAAAUCUCCGGCUCAACCUGUCUGGAGGGUGUGGACCGGGCCGGAGCUGACUGCAGGUAUGAGGAGGAACAGCGCGCAGUUUUAGGCGGAACUCCGCUUCUUCUCUCCGACUUACAAGAUAACGCGAGAACCAGGUGAGGGAGGAAAGGAACGGAACCGGGACGGUCCAGAAGUGGAUCAUCAGAUGGGCCUGCGGUUCUAAUGUUGUUCUUCAGGCUGUGGGAGGUCCACGACGUCGCGCUGUUCCUCAGUAUCACGCUCUACCUGUGCCACUCAGUCGGAUCGAUCUCCGUCAGCUCCUCCCAGAGGAACCUGAUCCGAUCGGUGCAGGACGACGUCUUCUUCUCGGUGGACGUGGCGUCCUCCGGCGUCCCCACCAUCCGAUGGAGCUUCAUGUCCGGGGCGGUGAGCCGCGCCGUCGGCGCUUGGCGGCCCGGUGGCUUCACCAACAUCAGCCAGGACUACAGCGAGCGGGUGAAGGCCUGCGACAACGGCUCCAUGCUGCUGUCCGACCUGAAGCUGCAGGACGCCGGGUACUACGUGGUGACGGCCGAGGACCCGGACGGGAACAGCCGCGACCUCGGCUUCGUCCUCAAAGUGAACGAGGUUCUGUACGAGGAUCUGCAGUACCUGUUUGUCACGGCGCUGGCGCUGAUGGUGGCGGCCGCUCUGCUCAUGCUGGCCAUGUGGCUGCUGCACCAGGGCUGCAGGAAGCUGGGGGCAUGGCGACGCCGGCGGCAGAUGCCAGCAAACGACGCGACGGAGCUGCAGCCUCUGUGACGAAGACAUGAAGUCCUGCAGAGUCCAGACUCCGUCCUGCUUAUGAAGCCCGGGUCCAGAUUUUAAAACGCCUGCAGCAUUUUGACAUUUUGAACCGACCAUUGAUGAGGAACCGGCCCGGCGGCGCUGCGGCCUCACCUGAGAUGGCGAACUCUCCGCUGGGGGAAGCGACGGUGAUGGCGGAGGCGUUCCCGAUGCUCUCCACGGGGCCCAGCCCCACGUGGUUGCUGAAGCUCA